UGAAGUAAUAUUGAGGACUGGUGGCAUAUGAGUCAAGGAUGAGCAAUGCUUACCUAGAACUCCGAAGUCCAA
ensembl:snoRNA